rnacentral:rRNA from 1 species
GAUGAACGCUGGCGGCGUGCCUAAUACAUGCAAGUCGAGCGAACGGACGAGAAGCUUGCUUCUCUGAUGUUAGCGGCGGACGGGUGAGUAACACGUGGAUAACCUACCUAUAAGACUGGGAUAACUUCGGGAAACCGGAGCUAAUCCCGGAUAAUAUUUUGAACCGCAUGGUUCAAAAGUGAAAGACGGUCUUGCUGUCACUUAUAGAUGGAUCCGCGCUGCAUUAGCUAGUUGGUAAGGUAACGGCUUACCAAGGCAACGAUGCAUAGCCGACCGGAGAGGGUGAUCGGCCACACUGGAACUGGGACACGGUCCAGACUCCUACGGGAGGCAGCAGUAGGGAAUCUGCCGCAAUGGGCGAAAGCCUGACGGAGCAACGCCGCGUGAGUGAUGAAGGUCUUCGGAUCGUAAAACUCUGUUAUUAGGGAAGAACAGAUGUGUAAGUAACUGUGCACAUCGUGACGGUACCUAAUCAGAAAGCCACGGCUAACUACGUG